UACGUAGGGGGGCAAGCGUUUGUCCGGAUUUAUUGGGCGUAAAGAGCGUGUAGGCGGCCAUACAGGUCAGCUGUGAAAACUCGAGGCUCAACCUCGAGACGUCGGUUGAAACCGUAUGGCUAGAGUCCGGAAGAGGAGAGUGGAAUUCCCGGUGUAGCGGUGAAAUGCGCAGAUAUCGGGGAAGAACACCCGUGGCGAAGGCGGCUCUCUGGGACGGUACUGACGCUGAGACGCGAAAGCGUGGGGGAGCGAACAGG
rnacentral:rRNA from 1 species